GGGCGCUUAGCUCAGUUGGCAGAGCACUUCGUUUACACCGAAGGUGUCGGGGGUUCGAGUCCCUCAGCGCCCA
rnacentral:tRNA from 1 species